UACGGGGGGGGCAAGCGUUGUUCGGAAUUACUGGGCGUAAAGGGUUCGUAGGUGGCUCGCUAAGUCAGACGUGAAAUCCCUCAGCUUAACUGGGGAACUGCGUCUGAGACUGGCGAGCUCGAGUGCAGGAGAGGAACGCGGAAUUCCAGGUGUAGCGGUGAAAUGCGUAGAUAUCUGGAGGAACACCGGUGGCGAAGGCGGAUCUCUGGGCCUUACCUGACGCUCAGGCACGAAAGCUAGGGGAGCGAACAGG
rnacentral:rRNA from 1 species